CAGCUUACCUAAUACACAAUUUGGUGUCUGUCUUGUGCUUCUGUAGCCCAGCCAGCAUGAAGAAUAUUCAGAGGGACUAACUGCUUCUAACUGUUGCUACUGGCCAUCAACACUUGCUAAGAUACCUGUGUUCUGCAAGGGGCAAUUAGCCAGGAGCAACAACAGAAGAGUGGUGAGCACAGUGAGGCAAAACAAAAGAUUUGGAAUUUCUGCUUCCUAGAAGAUGUCAGACUGUGAUGACUCUGAUGCUGAAAUGGACAGUAAAGCAGAAUGCCAUUCUCACGAUAGGGACACCAAAUGGCAUCCUGAGCCAGAGAGAUGUACAUCUCCUCAGCGCUUAGCAGGGUUCUGCUCUUCUUGGGAGAGUAUUUUCUAUAACUUCUAUUUAUCUAGAAAAGCAGUAUCGGAAAGCAAAAUCCAACCUAUCUAGCAGCACAGUCUACAACAGCUAUAAGGACUAUUUGCCAGCUGUAAGAGAAACUUUGGUUCCUGCCUGUUUCCAUAAUAAGAUGCAGCCAGUACAAGAAACUUGACUGGGCCAUUGUGUGCAUGAUACGACACUAUUCCUCUUCCUGAAGCCAAAAGAGAAAGACAAUUAAAGAACAUUAUUUUAGCACAUUGUUUCACCAUGAUUAGUGAAAUUUUCUCAGAAUAGCACAACUCUUAAAACCCUAUUCUGCCUUGUGUGUACACAAUUUACAGAAAAAAUAAGCACAAAAAAGUAAUUUAAUGUACCACAAGUGAUUUAGGACUGUACUAGUAAAUCACCUGAAACAUGGCGUUAUAAA